UACGGGGGGGGCAAGCGUUGUUCGGAAUUACUGGGCGUAAAGGGCUCGUAGGUGGCCAACUAAGUCAGACGUGAAAUCCCUCGGCUUAACCGGGGAACUGCGUCUGAUACUGGAUGGCUUGAGUUUGGGAGAGGGAUGCGGAAUUCCGGGUGUAGCGGUGAAAUGCGUAGAUAUCUGGAGGAACACCGGUGGCGAAGGCGGCAUCCUGGACCAACACUGACACUGAGGAGCGAAAGCCAGGGGAGCAAACGGG
rnacentral:rRNA from 1 species